CAUUUUGCCUUCCCCGAUUUGGUUGGGCUUUCAUUGGAUUAUGUGUGUUACUCACUCAAGCCUCCACUGAAUUGGUGCGAUUACAAUUGGAUUCUAAGUGCUGGCCUCGACGGGGGUUCAUCUUGGGCUCAAGAUUUUGUCUACUCCAACAUCACGCCUUCCGGAUUUCCGCUCAAAGUUAUACACCUGCACUGUUUGAUCUGCUGCUACCUCGGGAUCUCCGGUUUUCUUGGGAUUUAUUUCAGAUUCGUUGGGAUUUCUUCCAUCCUCAGUUUGGUCGCCCGAUGUUAAUGGACCUCGAUUGACUUACGAUCUACUGUUCAUCAUCCACACUACACACUGCCUUCUUCCAUAGGGAGUAUGUUUGAACCCUUAACCUUGGGGGACCACGCAAUUCAUUCAAAUAUUGCGGUUCUUUAUUUUGGUAUGGAGAAUGUCUACAAAGAGACAAAUACUUCUGAUCCAAGUUUUAGUGUGCUUCGGUAUCAUGCCAGCACCGGCGAGGUAAACUGGGUCUGCAAAAAGCACAUUGAUUUUCUCCCUUGAGUCCAAAAACAAACCCUCUAUGACCAUGUAAGUUUUUGCCUUCUGUUCCUCUAACCGUUUUGUGUGGUUAAAAACAACUUUUCCCAUACUGGAUUGCAUCUGAACAGAUUGAUUUUUAGUGUUCGCACAAUGCGCUCUGGAGAUUAUGGAACGCAAGAAGUAAUAUGCUAAGACAUUGUUUUUGAUUAAUUUUUUAGGAAGUGUAUGCCAGCAUUCUGAGCAGGUGUGCAUAUCUGUAAUUCAUUCACGAUAAGGCUCCUUAAUCGUUCUUCUACUUGCAUAAAUAUAGAAUCAUUGUACAUAUCUCUGUUAGAACAGCUGUGGACAUUUUUUCUCCAUUGUCUUGCCUGAAAAAUGUAGAAUCAUACUCAUGUAUUUUACUGUAUAUGUUCUGCUAUUUACUUCCUUGACUGCAGAAUCAGAGGUGUUGCUUUUGAGUGAUUAACCAGCUGGCCCAUCUGUAAGUGGUUUUGUUUUGGCCAUCUUUUCAACUAUUUUCACUCUAAUAUUUCUAUUAACAAUUUUAUUUCAGUUUUGUUAUUAGAUUACACACUAAUGGACUCGAUGCGUACUUUGCAUACUUCGCAAUUAGAUUACAGUUAAUUACUUUUACAUGAACGACUAUUCUUUGUGUUUUUAUGUAGGAAGUAUGGAGAGACUUUUUUUACAUUAGAUUGAGACCCAGCAGGCUUCAUGCCCAAACUAUCACAUUCCUUUAUCAAUGUUAGCAUUUCAGUGAUUGUAAAUUGAUGGAUCUGAAUUCAAAUCAUUUUUGUGAAUAUUAGCAUUUUAUUGAUUGUAAAUGAAUGUAUUGGUUACAAAAUAUUUUAAUGCCCUCAG